CUUUUGGUACCAGGACUAAUUUACUUCAAGUAAAAUCCUGUGCUUUAAUCAUCAAGCCCUGGCUUUCAGUCGCGUUAAAAAAUUCAAAUUCAGUGGGAAAAGAAUAUUGAUUCACAGACCAGCCACUUUAAUAGAAAAUUCCAAGUUGCUUGGGAACCACAAGUUAGCCAUUGUUUGGCCAAGACAAGAGACGGUGUCUGGGAAUAUUUGGGGUCCCUGCUUGCAGAGCUUGGAAACGGGGAAACAGUCCCCUCUGGAGGUGGACAACUCGGGCUCCACAGCCAGACUCAUCUGGGUUGGGAUUCAGCUCCACUGCCUAGCUGUGCGACCCGGAGCAAGCCAGCUCUUCAAGCAGGGGGACAGUGUCACACUCCACAGGAAAGAACAUAAGGUUUAGAAGGAGGGGCCUCGGGUUCAAGUCCCAGCUCUGUGACCUACCAGCCUGUGUGACCUUGGGUGAGUCUCCAUACCCCCACCAUCCGUGCUUUCCUCUGCUACAAAAUGGGGUUGAUG
rnacentral:lncRNA from 1 species